UGAACGAAGUCUAGUGGAAUCCUGAGUAGCGCGGAGCACGAGAAAUUCUGUGUGAAUCAGCGGGGCCCAUCCCGUAAGGCUAAAUACUCCCGAGAGACCGAUAGCGAACCAGUACCGUGAGGGAAAGGUGAAAAGAACCUCGAACAGAGGAGUGAAAUAGACCCUGAACCCGUCUGCCUACAAGCGGUCGGAGCAACGUAAGUUGUGACGGCGUGCCGUUUGCAUAAUGAACCGACGAGUUACUUUCUCCGGCAAGGUUAAGUAUGUCAGAUACGGAGCCGAAGCGAAAGCGAGUCUGAAUAGGGCGACAUAGUCGGAGGGAGUAGACGCGAAACCAAGUGAUCUACCCUUGGUCAGGUUGAAGGUUAGGUAACACUAACUGGAGGACCGAACCGGUGAGCGUUGAAAAGCUUUCGGAUGAACUGUGGGUAGGGGUGAAAGGCUAAUCAAACUUGGAGAUAGCUCGUACUCCCCGAAAUGCAUUUAGGUGCAGCCUUUAUUUAGUAUAGCAUGAGGUAGAGCGACUGAUUGGAUGCGAGGGCUUCACCGCCUAUCAAGUCCAGAUAAACUCCGAAUGCGUGCUAUAUAUUGAUAAGGAGUGAGGGCGCGGGUGCUAAGGUCCGCGUCCGAGAGGAGAAGAAUCCAGACCAUCAGCUAAGGUCCCCAAAUAACAGUUAAGUUGAACUAACGAAGUCAGACUGCAGAGACAGCUAGGAUGUUGGCUUGGAAGCAGCCAUUCAUUUAAAGAGUGCGUAACAGCUCACUAGUCGAGGAGUCCGGCGUGGAUAAUACUCGGGCAUAAACUGUUUACCGAAGCUAUGGAUGUGUAAACACAUGGUAGGGGAGCAUUCCAACGGCGUCGAAGGUGAAGGAUGACCUUUGCUGGAGCUUUUGGAAACGCAAAUGUAGGUAUAAGUAACGAUAAAGGAGGUGAGAAACCUCCUCGCCGAAAGACUAAGGUUUCCUGAUCAACGUUAAUCGGAUCAGGGUAAGUCGGGACCUAAGGAUAAGCCGAACGGCGAUUCCGAUGGAAGAAUGGUUUAAUAUUCCCAUACUACUUUAUAGAGCGAUGUGGAGACGGAGAAGUGACAGUCCUGCCAACUGACGGAAUAGUUGGUUAAAGGGUGUAGACGUCGAUCGCGGUAGGCAAAUCCGCCGUGAGAGUCGAACCUGAGAGUAUGCCGAGUACUUGUACAAGGCAAUAUGGAUGUAAACAGGCUCCCUAGAAAAUCCGCUAAGCAUAUCUAUAGAGUACCCGUACCGUAAACGGACACACGUAGUUGGGUUGAGAAUACUGAGGCGCUCGAGUGAUUCACGGUUAAGGAACUAGGCAAAUUGACCCUGUAACUUCGGGAUAAAGGGUCCCUGUCAGCGAUGGCGGGGCGCAGAGAAUAGGUCCAGGCAACUGUUUAACAAAAACACAUGGCUGUGCGAAAUAGAAAUAUGAAGUAUACAGCCUGACACCUGCCCGGUGCUGGAAGGUUAAGAGGAGAGCUCAUCGCAAGAGAAGGUUUGAAUUGAAGCCCCAGUAAACGGCGGCCGUAACUAUAACGGUCCUAAGGUAGCGAAAUUCCUUGUCGGGUAAGUUCCGACCUGCACGAAUGGUGUAAUGAUCUGGACACUGUCUCAACCGUGAGCU
rnacentral:rRNA from 1 species